rnacentral:rRNA from 1 species
AGACCCGAAACCCGGUGAUCUAGCCAUGGGCAGGUUGAAGGUUGGGUAACACUAACUGGAGGACCGAACCGACUAAUGUUGAAAAAUUAGCGGAUGACCUGUGGCUGGGGGUGAAAGGCCAAUCAAACCGGGAGAUAGCUGGUUCUCCCCGAAAGCUAUUUAGGUAGCGCCUCGUGAAUUCAUCUCCGGGGGUAGAGCACUGUUUCGGCUAGGGGGCCAUCCCGGCUUACCAACCCGAUGCAAACUGCGAAUACCGGAGAAUGUUAUCACGGGAGACACACGGCGGGUGCUAACGUCCGUCGUGAAGAGGGAAACAACCCAGACCGCCAGCUAAGGUCCCAAAGUCAUGGUUAAGUGGGAAACGAUGUGGGAAGGCCCAGACAGCCAGGAUGUUGGCUUAGAAGCAGCCAUCAUUUAAAGAAAGCGUAAUAGCUCACUGGUCGAGUCGGCCUGCGCGGAAGAUGUAACGGGGCUAAACCAUGCACCGAAGCUGCGGCAGCGACACUGUGUGUUGUUGGGUAGGGGAGCGUUCUGUAAGCCUGUGAAGGUGUGUCGUGAGGCAUGCUGGAGGUAUCAGAAGUGCGAAUGCUGACAUAAGUAACGAUAAAGCGGGUGAAAAGCCCGCUCGCCGGAAGACCAAGGGUUCCUGUCCAACGUUAAUCGGGGCAGGGUGAGUCGACCCCUAAGGCGAGGCCGAAAGGCGUAGUCGAUGGGAAACGGGUUAAUAUUCCCGUACUUGGUGUUACUGCGAAGGGGGGACGGAGAAGGCUAUGUUGGCCGGGCGACGGUUGUCCCGGUUUAAGCGUGUAGGUGUGUGUUCCAGGUAAAUCCGGUUCACUUUAACACUGAGGCGUGAUGACGAGGCACUACGGUGCUGAAGCAACAAAUGCCCUGCUUCCAGGAAAAGCCUCUAAGCAUCAGGUAACAUCAAAUCGUACCCCAAACCGACACAGGUGGUCAGGUAGAGAAUACCAAGGCGCUUGAGAGAACUCGGGUGAAGGAACUAGGCAAAAUGGUGCCGUAACUUCGGGAGAAGGCACGCUGACACGUAGGUGAAGUGAUUUACUCAUGGAGCUGAAGUCAGUCGAAGAUACCAGCUGGCUGCAACUGUUUAUUAAAAACACAGCACUGUGCAAACACGAAAGUGGACGUAUACGGUGUGACGCCUGCCCGGUGCCGGAAGGUUAAUUGAUGGGGUCAGCGCAAGCGAAGCUCCUGAUCGAAGCCCCGGUAAACGGCGGCCGUAACUAUAACGGUCCUAAGGUAGCGAAAUUCCUUGUCGGGUAAGUUCCGACCUGCACGAAUGGCGUAAUGAUGGCCAGGCUGUCUCCACCCGAGACUCAGUGAAAUUGAACUCGCUGUGAAGAUGCAGUGUACCCGCGGCAAGACGGAAAGACCCCGUGAACCUUUACUAUAGCUUGACACUGAACAUUGAGCCUUGAUGUGUAGGAUAGGUGGGAGGCUUUGAAGCGUGGACGCCAGUCUGCGUGGAGCCGACCUUGAAAUACCACCCUUUAAUGUUUGAUGUUCUAACGUGGACCCGUGAUCCGGGUUGCGGACAGUGUCUGGUGGGUAGUUUGACUGGGGCGGUCUCCUCCUAAAGAGUAACGGAGGAGCACGAAGGUUGGCUAAUCCUGGUCGGACAUCAGGAGGUUAGUGCAAUGGCAUAAGCCAGCUUGACUGCGAGCGUGACGGCGCGAGCAGGUGCGAAAGCAGGUCAUAGUGAUCCGGUGGUUCUGAAUGGAAGGGCCAUCGCUCAACGGAUAAAAGGUACUCCGGGGAUAACAGGCUGAUACCGCCCAAGAGUUCAUAUCGACGGCGGUGUUUGGCACCUCGAUGUCGGCUCAUCACAUCCUGGGGCUGAAGUAGGUCCCAAGGGUAUGGCUGUUCGCCAUUUAAAGUGGUACGCGAGCUGGGUUUAGAACGUCGUGAGACAGUUCGGUCCCUAUCUGCCGUGGGCGCUGGAGAACUGAGGGGGGCUGCUCCUAGUACGAGAGGACCGGAGUGGACGCAUCACUGGUGUUCGGGUUGUCAUGCCAAUGGCACUGCCCGGUAGCUAAAUGCGGAAGAGAUAAGUGCUGAAAGCAUCUAAGCACGAAACUUGCCCCGAG